rnacentral:rRNA from 1 species
CCUACGGGUGGCACCAGUGGGGAAUAUUGGACAAUGGGCGCAAGCCUGAUCCAGCCAUGCCGCGUGAGUGAAGAAGGCCUUAGGGUUGUAAAGCUCUUUCACCGGUGAAGAUAAUGACGGUAACCGGAGAAGAAGCCCCGGCUAACUUCGUGCCAGCAGCCGCGGUAAUACGAAGGGGGCUAGCGUUGUUCGGAAUUACUGGGCGUAAAGCGCGCGUAGGCGGAUAGAUAAGUCAGAGGUGAAAUCCCGGGGCUCAACCCCGGAAUUGCCUUUGAUACUGUUUAUCUUGAGUGCAGAAGAGGUAAGUGGAAUUCCGAGUGUAGAGGUGAAAUUCGUAGAUAUUCGGAGGAACACCAGUGGCGAAGGCGGCUUACUGGUCUGCAACUGACACUGAGAGACGAAAGCUAGGGGAGCGAAUGGGAUUAGAUACCCUCGUAGUC